GUGUUCCCUGCAGCAGCACAGAUACUCAAAUUGGAACCACAGGGGGAAGAUUAGCAUGACCCCUGCACAAGGAUGACCAGUAUCAUUUGGCAACACUGGAGCUGAAA